rnacentral:lncRNA from 1 species
GUUGGAGUAGAUAGACAAGAUGAGCAUUUUCAGUUUGAGGAAGCUGUCUUUGAUCGUUGGCCACCAGGUAUAGCAUUUAUCCUGUCAUCUUUUUUUUUUAAUCAUCAUAUUUUCUCUGACUUAAUCGAUUUGAAAUACAGCUGCUCUAUGUUCUUGUCAACCUGUCGGAUCGCUUGACUAGGGAGACACAGGUGUGAGAGGUCGAGAAAAAAGUUGAGAUAGACAUUUAGGUAGUUCGGAUGAAAAUUAAGGAACUAGAGGCUGAGACCAAGCAUCUCCA